AUUGAACGCUGGCGGCAUGCCUAACACAUGCAAGUCGAACGAAGUCUUCGGACUUAGUGGCGGACGGGUGAGUAACACGUGGGAACGUACCUUUUGGUUCGGAACAACUCAGGGAAACUUGAGCUAAUACCGGAUGAGCCCUUAGGGGGAAAGAUUUAUCGCCGAAAGAGCGGCCCGCGUUAGAUUAGCUAGUUGGUGAGGUAAAGGCUCACCAAGGCUACGAUCUAUAGCUGGUCUGAGAGGAUGAUCAGCCACACUGGGACUGAGACACGGCCCAGACUCCUACGGGAGGCAGCAGUGGGGAAUCUUGCGCAAUGGGCGAAAGCCUGACGCAGCCAUGCCGCGUGAAUGAUGAAGGUCUUAGGAUUGUAAAAUUCUUUUACCAGGGACGAUAAUGACGGUACCUGGAGAAAAAGCCCCGGCUAACUUCGUGCCAGCCGCCGCUGUAAUAC
rnacentral:rRNA from 1 species